rnacentral:rRNA from 1 species
GGGGAAUAUUGGACAAUGGGCGAAAGCCUGAUCCAGCAACGCCGCGUGAGGGAUGACGGCCUUCGGGUUGUAAACCUCUUUCAGUAUCGACGAAGCGCCCUGUCGGGUGGUGACGGUAGAUACAGAAGAAGGACCGGCCAGCUACGUGCCAGCAGCCGCGGUAAUACGUAGGGUCCGAGCGUUGUCCGGAAUUAUUGGGCGUAAAGGGCUCGUAGGCGGUUUGUCACGUCGGAAGUGAAGUCUUACAGCUUAACUGUGAACUUGCUUUCGAUACGGGCAGACUUGAGGCAUUCAGGGGAGAACGGAAUUCCUGGUGUAGCGGUGAAAUGCGCAGAUAUCAGGAGGAACACCGGUGGCGAAGGCGGUGCUCUGGGAAUGUACUGACGCUGAGGAGCGAAAGUGUGGGGAGCGAAC